UACGGAGGGUGCGAGCGUUGUCCGGAAUCACUGGGCGUAAAGGGCGCGUAGGCGGCGCAGGAAGUCAACGGUGAAAGUUCGGGGCUCAACCCUGAAUCGGCCGUCGAUACUGCUGGGCUCGAGCACUGUAGAGGCAGAUGGAAUUCCGGGUGUAGCGGUGGAAUGCGUAGAGAUCCGGAAGAACACCGGUGGCGAAGGCGGUCUGCUGGGCAGUUGCUGACACUGAGGCGCGACAGCGUGGGGAGCAAACAGG
rnacentral:rRNA from 1 species